GAGGCGCCACACCUUGUGCGGCAUCCUCCCGGUUGAAUAACAAAAACCCGGCGCUGAACGCGCCAAGGAAAUCGAAAUCGUUUAGUGCACCCCUGUGGGCUCCGAGGAGGUGCUCGUGCGGGCGGUGACGCUACACGCGUAUCCGAAGGACUCUCGGCAACGGAUAUCUCGGCUCUUGCAUCGNNNNNNNNNNNNNNNNNNNNGCGAUACUUGGUGUGAAUUGCAGAAUCCCGUGAACCAUCGAGUCUUUGAACGCAAGUUGCGCCCGAAGCCAUUAGGCUGAGGGCACGCCUGCCUGGGUGUCGCCCAUCGUUGCCCCAGUGCCUUGGCCUCGUGUUAGGCGCCGAGCUGGGCGAAUGGUGGCUUCCCGUGAGCAACGCCUCGCGGUUGGUUGAAAACUGAGUCUGUGGUGGGUGGCGCCGUGGCGGAUGGUGGUUGAG
rnacentral:rRNA from 1 species